rnacentral:lncRNA from 1 species
AAAAGCAGUAGUAUUAUUAUUAUGGGAGCACAGCCAGGUGGGAGGAAAACAUUUCCACUAAACCCAAAACCACCUGCAAUGGCCAUAUCACCGUGCAAAGCUUGAUGCCACCAUGAACAAAACUCACAUCUUCUUCCACUUCCUUCUCAUCCUUUCUGUUAUUUGUACUAUAGACUACACUCUCUCCUCAACUCCACGCCGGACGAGCAGCGUUAACAGCAAGGACUCGUUGAUGUGGUCUCGGAGUAAUAGUAGUAGCAGUUGCAGCACUAGUGCAAGAACAAGCAUUAGUGAUGCUUCCGAGAGAAAAAUAGUGAUCAGUCGAGCCUCGGUGGUUGGGGCCAAGAUCAGACCAUAACUUUCCGGCGAGGGACUGAGUUUCGGUGGGAGAGUUUUCUUCCGUCUGAUUAUCAAGAACUCAUUGCCCGGUCGGUUGAUUAUUGGGAUUCGUGCCGGAAGAUUCCCCCGUCUUUUGCUUCUAGGAAGGAAUUGUAUCUCUAUCUAUCUGAUAAUUCUCUCAUCAUUGAUGGUGGCGCUAAGGGAAACUUAUCUUGACAGAUUAUCCUUGAGGUAUGAGAAAGUGUUGUCAGCCGUUCAAGGAGUUUUCACCAGUUAACGAACACCACACAUGCAUGGCCGGAUUCACGAUCGCUCCUUCACCGGAUUCAACUUGCCGGCCAGCUCAGAACUAUCAAACUAGCCAUCUUCUCCGUUGAAGAACUGCUCGUUGUUACUUCCAACAUGAUGCUAGCCCAAAACGCCGAGUAAGCUGCAGAUGGCUACUCGUGGAGUCGAUGACCACGAUCCAGUCUGUCAAGGCACGACAAAGCUUCGA